UUUGAAUCAGUCGCCCAUCAGCCGUUGGCUUGGAAAGUCGCUCACCGUUUUGCUCUUCUCUCCCUGUGGCAUUUUUUGUUUUGGUUUUGUUUGUUUACCUUAUCAUCCGUCAAAAGAGAGGAAGACCUGAAGCCUCAAAAAAAAAAAAAAAAACUGUCAGGAAAAGCCGUGCAAGUGUUUGGUGUCCAUCGUUAUGUAACAUUUGACGGAAUUUCCUCAUCUCCUCAAAAUCGAUAAGGAAUAAUAAGAACUUGAAACGAUUGAGCAACCUCCCGCUGGCCUGUUAACCAUGUCCUACUUGGGACUGAGUGAACACAUCGACUUCGAGUCUCUGCCUAAUCCCUCGGGCAGGAUCCGUUUGGACGAAGUCAUCGGCGAGGGAACCUAUGGCGAAGUCUUCCGAGCUUUCGAUCUCGAAAUGGGUCAGUCCGUGGCUGUCAAAGUCAUGGAGCAAAUAGCCGAUAAUAUCGAAGAAAUCGAAGAAGAAUUUCUUGUUCUCCGAGAUCUCUGCCUCCAUCCUAAUAUUCCGGCUUUUCACGGUCUCUACCUGAAGAAACAUCCAUCCAAACGAGAGGAAGACCAGCUCUGGUUCGUCAUGGAGCUGUGCAGUGGCGGUUCCGUCACCGACUUGGUUCACGGCCUGAAGCGCUAUAAUCGCCGGCUGACUGAAGAGCAGAUUGCCUACAUUCUCCGUGAAACCAUCGAAGGUUUAGUUUACCUCCAUAGGAACCACUGCAUGCAUCGGGACAUUAAAGGUCACAACAUACUUUUGACGGAUGAGGCUGGCGUGAAGCUGAUCGACUAUGGCGUUUCGUCUCAUACCGAUGCUACGUUGGAUCGUAAAAACACGUCGGUUGGAACGCCCUAUUGGAUGGCCCCAGAGGUGAUUGCAUGCGAACAACAGCUGGACUAUUCUUACGAUAUGCGCUGCGAUGUCUGGUCUUUGGGUAUCACCGCUAUCGAACUGGCUGAUGGAGACCCCCCGCUAUCUGAUCUCCAUCCGAUGAGGGCCCUCUUUCAGAUUCCUCGGAAUCCACCACCGACUUUAUGUAAGCCGGGAGACUGGAGCGCUGCGUUCAAUGAUUUUAUCGCCGUUUGCCUGGUGAAAGAUUUCGAACAGAGGCCAUUCUCCCGCGCUUUGCUAGAUCAUCCAUUCCUUAGUCAAGUGCCACCCAAUCCCGAUUCGAUUCGAUAUCCUUUAAUGAGAGAAGUACAAAGGCAAAUGGGAGCUAAAAACAAAAGAAGAGCUCCGGAACCGACAACUAAACAAGGCAAGUUGAAAGCGGACCGCAAGGCGAAAUUGCAGCGCAUCUACCUGGACGAUUUGGCUUCGUUGGAAAACUUUUCCAUUGAAAGUAUUGUAGACCAGCUGGAGCAGCGCUACAGGAACAAUGUCAUCUACACGUACAUUGGGGACAUUCUAGUCGCAGUCAACCCUUUCGCUGAAUUAAACAUUUAUACCGACAGGGAGGUUUACAUGUACAGGAAUCGAGCACGAUCAGAUAAUCCUCCUCACGUUUUCGCUAUGGCCGAUGCUGCUUAUCACGCCAUGCUGCACCAGCGCCGAUCACAGUGUAUCGUCAUUAGCGGAGAAAGCGGAGCAGGCAAAACGGUCACGGCCAAUUUUCUCCUCAAACAACUCGUCACCUUGGGCAAGGCUCCUAAUCGGGACCUGGAGGAAAAAAUACUCAUGAUGAACCCAAUCAUGGAGGCAUUUGGCAAUGCGAGGACGGGCAUUAACGACAAUUCUUCGCGUUUCGGUAAAUACUUGGACGUCACGUUCACAAGUGCCGGUAUGGUUUCCGGUGCCCGGCUGUCGGUCUAUCUCCUGGAACAUUCGCGUGUCGUCCAGCAAGCAGCAAAUGAGAAGAACUUUCACAUUUUCUAUUACCUUUGUGACGGACUGGCUGCUGAGAACAAACUGGGCGAUUACUUCCUCGAUAGUGGAAGGAGAUCGCAUCGUUAUGUCACUCUUCCUCCGCUGACUUCCCUCGAGCGACAGAUCAACGCGGAAAAGUAUCAAUUAGUACGUAAAGGAUUCGACCAACUGGGUUUCGCUAGCGACGAAUUAGACGCCAUCUACUCCGUCAUGGCGGCUGUGAUUCAUAUUGGCGACCUGGAUAUCGUCCCUGCCGGCCCCGGCAAAGACAACACGGAUCGAUGCAAAAUUGCAAAUCCGGCUCAGACUAAAAUUGUGGCUAAACUGCUGGGAGUCGAACCGGAGGCGGUGGAGGAAGCUCUGACAUCAGUGAGUGUAGUGACCCGUGGCGAAACGAUCACGCGUCACAACGGACUGGACGCAGCCUGCGCCACACGUGAGGCCAUGGCUAAAGGACUUUAUUCACGACUAUUCGACUGGGUCGUUCAGCAAAUCAACCGGCACUUAUCCUUCGGGCGUCUCGUCUACGAUUCCAACAUCGAUGUUCAUUUGAAUAGUGGGGAGCCAUUGUCCAUUGGCCUGUUGGACAUUUUCGGGUUCGAGAAUCACUUGGGUCCGGGAGGACGCAAUUCCUUCGAGCAACUCUGCAUCAAUAUCGCCAACGAGCAGAUCCAGUAUUUCUUUAAUCAGCAUGUCUUCACUUGGGAGCAACAGGAAUAUAUGGCCGAGGGAAUCAACGUUGAAGUGGUCGAGUACACCGACAACCGCCCAGUUUUGGACAUGUUUCUGGCCAAGCCGCUGGGUUUGCUGGCACUUCUCGAUGAGGAAAGCCGUUUCCCUGGAGCAUCAGACAUUUCUCUUAUAGAAAAAUUCCAAAAGAACAUAACGUCCGACUAUUACAUCCGUCAUAAAGCCCACGGUUUGGACUUUACGGUCCAACACUACGCAGGCCGCGUCAGUUACGAGGCCACGUCCUUUUUGGAGAAAAAUCGUAACUUCCUGCCACACGAAGUGGUUCAGUUGUUACGCAACAGUCAGAAUCCCACCGUUCAGUUCCUCUUUAAUUGCCCGCUCACCAAAACGGGCAAUCUUUAUUCCAAGUCGCCCUUUGGAUCACCAUCAAGCGGCCGUAAACUGAUCACGCCGACACCGGAAUUGAAAGGUCGUGGCAAUAACAAGAACGAUGGCAAGACGGUCGUGUUCAACAGUAUGGUCGCUCCUGGUACCAUAUUAGCCAAAGACCUUGCGUCACAGACGAGGGCUCAACAGACCGUGAGCACCUAUUUCCGUCACUCUCUGAUGGAACUCUUGCAAAAAAUGAUUGGCUGUUCAUCAGUUGGUUCUGAUGCACGAUCUCCAGGUGUCAUAGGAGAGCCGCAUUUCAUCCGUUGCAUCAAACCGAAUGAUACUCGCCGGGCUGGCUAUGUCGACCGGACCAAAAUAGCCCAACAGUUGCGUUACACGGGCGUCCUAGAGACCGUCCGUAUCCGCAAACAAGGCUUCUCUCAUCGACUGAAUUUUGUUGAUUUCCUCAAAAGAUAUUGCUUUUUGGCAUUUGAUUUCGAAGAACGAGUGGUUGCAGAUCGUGAAACUUGUCAAAAGUUACUAGUCCGCUUGAAACUUGACGGCUGGGCUGUUGGGAAAACGAAAGUGUUCCUCAAGUACUACCACGUCGAGUAUCUGUCUAAAGUCUAUGAUCAACAAAUUAGACGCAUCAUCCAAGUCCAGUCUUGCGUCCGCCGCUGGUUAGCCAAACUGAGACUUGCCCGGCACAACAAGAAAGUCGGUGUAAUGACGCCGUUCACUGAAGCUGAAGAAAUCAGAACUUCUCAAGAAAUGAAGCAAAUGGCUGGAAAGGCUCAACAGGUCGAUCCUAAUGAAGCUGCCACCGUCAUUCAAAAAUCCUAUCGAGGAUAUAAGGUACGAGUCAAGUACGGAGACGAACUCAUGGAACGUUUCCAGGAGAAUUCCACUUUGCAACGAAAAUAUGGCAGACCUCAAUAUCCGCAAGAUGCCACUCAAGAAGUGCUUUCUAGUCCGUCGGCGGCUACACUCGACGAAAAGACUAAGAACUCCAUUCGUCGUCGUCGACAAGAAAUGGUAGCUUUUGCAGCUCAGCAUUUCGUCCAGUCAACUGGUUCCUCCGCCAGCAAACUACGUCCGUCCCAAUGGCUUCAAAAUUAUGCCGGCCAUGUUGGCUCAACAGAUGUUGCUUCAAACUCCUUACAAGUCCGGCAACAAUCUCGACUCCAAAGCUUUCCUCUAUCCGUUGGGAAGCAACCCUAUUAGCGAUGAUGAAGAUUUCGAUGAAAAUGUGUCAUGGGAUUCUCCGCUGACGCGGGCAAUGAAAGGCAAACAUGACAGGGAGAAGAAGAUCGAUGUCAACCAAGAAAUGCGUGAUCAAAUAGGAGAAGGUGGUUUGAUGUCGCAGA
rnacentral:misc_RNA from 1 species